UUUGAUAGUGACAGUGACCCAGAUGACCCUGAGCCUUUCCAUGGUUUUGAUGCCUCGCCCUAUACAUCAGAUGUAGAUGUUCCCUCAUCAGUUGAUACGAGUAUCACCUCUCCAGAGCCCAAAUCAGUUGAUACGAGUAGUAUCACCUCUCCCAUUCCUUCAGACUCCCAAGCACCUGCCCAUCCCACUCCAUAGCCCAGCCACCCACUCUCAUGUACCAUAUGGCCAUCCCAGUAAGCAAGCCAACCACUAGAAUUUG